rnacentral:rRNA from 1 species
CCUACGGGAGGCAGCAGUGAGGAAUAUUGCUCAAUGGACGAGAGUCUGAACCAGCGAAGCAGCGUGAAGGAUGACUGCCCUAUGGGUUGUAAACUUCUUUUAUAUGGGAGUAAAAUGAUCCUCGUGUGGGACAUUGUAUGUACCAUACGAACAAGGUUCGGCUAACUCGGCGCCAGCAGCCGUGGUAAUACGGAGGCUGCGAGCGUUAGCCGGAUUCAUUGGGUGUAAAGUGAGUGUAUGUGGAUUGUUAAGUCAGUUGUGAAAGUUUGCGGCUCAACCGUAGAAUUGCAGUUGAAACUGGCAGUCUUGAGUACAGUAGAGGUGAGCGGAAUUCGUGGUGUAGCGGUGAAAUGCUUAGAUAUCGCGAAGAACUCCGAUUGCGAAGGCAGCUCACUGGACUGCAACUGACGCUGAGGCUCGAAAGUGUGGGUAGCAAACAGGAUUAGAUACCCUAGUAGUC